UUGGUAGGGUAAUGGCCUACCAAGGCGACGAUGGGUAGCCGACCUGAGAGGGUGAUCGGCCACACUGGGACUGAGACACGGCCCAGACUCCUACGGGAGGCAGCAGUGGGGAAUAUUGCGCAAUGGGGGGAACCCUGACGCAGCAACGCCGCGUGAGUGAAGAAGGUUUUCGGAUCGUAAAGCUCUGUCAUUGGGGACGAAAAGAUGACGGUACCCAAGGAGGAAGCCCCGGCUAACUACGUGCCAGCAGCCGCGGUAAUACGUAGGGGGCGAGCGUUGUCCGGAAUUACUGGGCGUAAAGGGUGCGUAGGCGGCUUCAGAAGUCAGGUGUGAAAUACCGUGGCUCAACUACGGGGGUGCAUUUGAAACUUUGAAGCUUGAGUGCAGGAGAGGAAAGUGGAAUUCCUAGUGUAGCGGUGAAAUGCGUAGAGAUUAGGAGGAACACCAGUGGCGAAGGCGACUUUCUGGACUGUAACUGACGCUGAUGCACGAAAGCGUGGGUAGCGAACAGGAUUAGAUACCCUGGUAGUCCACGCCGUAAACGAUGGAUACUAGGUGUAGGAGGUAUCGACCCCUUCUGU
rnacentral:rRNA from 1 species